CUUCACGAUGAUUCACCCGUUAUGUUCACAGUUGACAGAACAGAAGAACGAAUGAAUAUCAAGCAAUGAUUUGUGUAACAUUUUCUUAAGUGUUAUGAGUACGUAAUAAAUAUUCUCGCAGAAACUGUAUGGUGUUAUUAGACGCAGCGUCGCACUGCGUGGCUGCGACUGGUUGAUAAUCGCUGGCUCCUCUGUGACAUUGUGGGCAUUGGUGAAUCAAGCUUGUCGUGAAUGUCAGUGCGCUUGCAAACUGACUCCCCUGCUGCAGCUCAUACACCGGUCGUCACUGGAUUCUGAUGUACUUUGUAAUAAUUAAGAUAGUUUCUGAACCAGAACAGUUGAUAAGCUACGGUCCUGAAUCAAAAAAGGUAAAUUUAAAAUGUGUCGUAACUUUAUCUUUGAGCCUCAUUUGGAAAAUGUUAACAUACUCACCUUUCAUUGUUAGGUACAUAUUUUUUUACACAAUCCCGCAUAACCCUGCAAGUUAUAAAAAUUCUUCCAAUGUAUAAAUUUCCCAAUUACAUACAUAUUGAUAAUGCCGAAUGUGGACUUAUAUAUACACACACGCAUACUUACACAUAUAUGUAUAAUAAUUGAAAGAAAAUGUUUGCUUCAAUGUCUCCCCUAUAAAUAAUUAAUGAAUUACCGAUAUGAUUAAAUAUCCGUGUUCUUAGUGGAUAUAACUAGGAAAAUCUGCAUAAUUUGUAUGUAUUUUUGUAGUUAUUAAAAAAGUACAAUUAAACUUACAAUAUUAUGAAUUGUCAUACCUCUAAUGUUAAAUUUUACUCUUGUACAGAUAGCACACUGUAUCUAAGUAACAUAAUUAAGAUGUCACAGAUAUAAUAAUUAAUACUUACUAAUUUUAUUCGACAAUGUGUUUCCGAUUCAUUUGACUUGUUGCAAAUGGGUUAUAAAUUAAGUAUAACUCCAGAGACGUACCAAAUUAGGUUACCUUGAAAAACUCAUGACGUCAGCGUGUAUGGUUUAUGUGUUAGGGAAAAUUUAUUCAAAUACUGUGUAUUAAAAAAGUGCAUGACAUGG